rnacentral:rRNA from 1 species
ACGGAAGGCAGCAGUGGGGAAUAUUGCGCAAUGGGGGAAACCCUGAUGCAGCAACGCCGCGUGAAGGAUGAAGGCCCUUGGGUCGUAAACUUCUGUUCUAAGGGAAGAUAAUGACGGUACCUUAGGAGCAAGUCCCGGCUAACUACGUGCCAGCAGCCGCGGUAAUACGUAGGGGGCAAGCGUUAUCCGGAAUUAUUGGGCGUAAAGAGUGCGUAGGUGGUUUCCUAAGCAUGGGGUUUAAGGCAAUGGCUUAACCAUUGUUCGCCCCAUGAACUGGGUUACUUGAGUGCUGGAGAGGAAAGUGGAAUUCCUAGUGUAGCGGUGAAAUGCGUAGAUAUUAGGAGGAACACCAGUGGCGAAAGCGGCUUGCUGGACUGCAACUGACACUGAGGCUCGAAAGCGUGGGGAGCAAACAGGAUUAGAUCCCCUGGUA